UAAUACGUAGGAGGCGAGCGUUGUCCGGAGUUACUGGGCGUAAAGCGCACGCAGGCGGUCUGUCUAGUCUAUAGGGACAGGGCACAGCUUAACUGUGUCAGGCUUAUGGAAACUGGCAGACUUGAGGGCUUCAGAGGGAUGGGGAAUUCCGGGUGGAGUGGUGAAAUGCGUAGAGAUCCGGAAGAACACCAAAGGCGAAGGCACCAUCCUGGGAAGUCACUGACGCUCGGGUGCGAAAGCUAGGGGAGCGAACGGGAUUAGAUACCCCGGUAGUCCUAGCCGUAAACGAUGACCACUAGAUGUGUGGGGGAUCGACCCCCUGCGUGUCGAAGCAUACGCGAUAAGUGGUCCGCCUGGGGAGUACGGUCGCAAGAUUA
rnacentral:rRNA from 1 species